CAGUAGCCGCGGUAAAACGUAGGUGGCAAGCGUUGUCCGGAAUUAUUGGGCGUAAAGGGCUCGCAGGCGGUUUCUUAAGUCUGAUGUGAAAGCCCCCGGCUCAACCGGGGAGGGUCAUUGGAAACUGGGAAGCUUGAGUGCAGAAGAGGAGAGUGGAAUUCCACGUGUAGCGGUGAAAUGCGUAGAGAUGUGGAGGAACACCAGUGGCGAAGGCGACUCUUUGGUCUGUAACUGACGCUGAGGAGCGAAAGCGUGGGGAGCGAACAGGAUUAGAUACCCGCGUAGUCCCUGUCUCUUAUAC
rnacentral:rRNA from 1 species